UUGAAUGAAUGUAGAGUUGGUUGUCGCUGGCCUCUUUUGGCAUGUGCACGCCUUCUCUUUCAUCCACACACACCUGUGCACCUGUGAGACGGAGAGCUUGCCCUUUCGCGAGGGUGUUUUCUUCGUCUGCCAAUACACAAACUCAUAUUAUAAUUUGAAUGUAAUUGAUGUAACGCAUCUAUAAAC
rnacentral:misc_RNA from 1 species